UAAGGUAAGUGGGAGAGUCCUGACCCCUCCCCUUCUCUUCCGGUAAAUAAGCUUCUUUCGUGUUCAUACAUCUGAUGCAGACGUCAAAAAUUCUCACCACUUUCUUUCAUUAUUCGGAGAUCGGAGCUGAUCAACUAGUUACAGGCGAUUGGAGGAUUUAGGAAUUAGGGCAUUGUUCUUGGUUCGGAGUUGAAUUCUUUGAAUCCUUUGUGGAAAACGGAGCUACCUUUGAAACUCAAUUUCAAGACUUCUGUAUUUAAUUAUGGAUUCACCAAUGGAAAAUUUUCAAUCCACUGCAGUUUUUCUGACACAGCCUGUGGACUCAAGUAGAUAAUUGUGAAUUAGCGUCAGGUGGAAAUGAUAACAGGCUAACUUUUUGUUUGUGACCAACAAUCGACAUAACUUGUUUAAGCCUAUUCCAAAGGCGAAUUUUUUAAAACUUUGUAUCAAAAGGUGGUUAUUUGGAAGUUGGUGUUUAGACGUAUGGAGGCGGGUUGUGUGUUCAAAAUGCAUAGAAUCUUCUAAUUUAUCAUCUAUUGGGCAGAACGUUGCGAGAGUGAAAUGUGGACAAAAUUGGGGGGGGGGGAUAAAUGAGAUGAGCACUUUCACCCAAACGGGCAUGGUGGGAAGGCGUGUAUGGAGAACGGUGGAAUCAAACCUGAGGGGAAGGUCACAACAGCUCUGGAUGGGUCCAAAAAUACAGCUAUAGCAGCUGCGGUCAACACUGGGACACCAAUGUCCAACAAGACACCUGCUAUGAAAGAUUUCCUCGUUAUGGUUUCUAUCAUUGCUAUGGAAACUCCGUCCCCUUGCGUCAGGUCAACAAACCUUCUAAGAGGUGAUAACUCUGGACAUGGGUCUGCUUGUUGCUGGCCAAAGUACCGUGGGGAGUUUGAAGAGCGACUAAAGAAAGCUGAUGGAGGAAAUCAAGCAAAGUGACGAAAUUAUUCUGUUUAUUGAUGAGGUCCAUACGUUAAUUGGAGCAGGCUGGGGAGUUGCGUGAUCGGGAAAUGGAUCUUAAAACUCAAAUAUUCGCUCUUAUGGACAAGAACAAAGAGAUGAGCAAAGCCGAGACCGAGGCGGGAGAAGAGGGCCCCACCAUAACUGAAGCGGACAUUCAACACAAUGUCUCAUCAUGGACUGGCAUACCGGUCGAGAAAGUCUCAACAGACGAAUCGGACCGUCUUCUCAAAAUGGAAGAAACACUCCACACACGUAUCAUCGGUCAAGACGAAGCAGUUAAAGCCAUUAGCCGUGCCAUCCACCGUGCUUGUGUAGGACUCAAAAACCCAAACCGCCCCAUCGCCAAUUUCAUCUUUUCGGGACCCACUGGUGUUUGUUGCUGUCGAGAUUCCAUUUACUCCCUGUGCCAAACGUGCACUGGAACUCUCGCUAGAGGAGGCCCGACAACUUGGUCACAAUUAUAUUGGAUCCGAGCAUUUGCUUCUUGGUUUGCUUAGAGAGGGUGAAGGUGUAGCGACCCGUGUUCUUGAAAAUUUGGGUGCAGACCCAAAUAACAUUCGCACACAGGCAAGCUAUAUUCAUUAUAUAUUCAUCUCUACUUUAAUAAAAAAAUCGGAUAUCGGUAAUCGCGGUGGGAUGUCGGUAAUUUUAAUAUCAUGCUGAAUUUUAUAUAUAUAGAAAUUUAACACUGAAAAUUCAGUAUACUCUCCUACCAUUAACAAAUUAACCUUUCGCACUUGCCGUAAAAAAGAUACAGAAUUGGAGAUUAUGAGAUUCGAUAACGAGAGGAUGAAGAUGGAAAACAAUCAAAUGCUCUUGGAAUUGACACGUGAGGCGAUGGUGUCUGCGGAUCUUAAUCAAUAAGAGUAUUUUUGGUCGGCCUGAAAUAUUCUCACUCCUAAUGAGCUCGAGGAGAAUCUACAAGAUUGAAUGGCCACCACAAUGAGGUCAUUCAUGAAGAAACUAUCAUAUGCAAAAGUGGUACGCAAACUGGGCAACUUGGGUGAUGGGUUGGGUUGACCCAAAACAAUUUUUCUUCAUAUAUUUUGGAUUUUACAUGCAUUAUAAAUUACGCGUCGACCUGUUUGACUGGUUUCAUUUUCUUGAUUUUUUCUUGUGUUUAUUUUGUAACAUGAAAGUUACGUGUUUCUUUUGUUUGGAAUAUUAGAUGAUCUACAAAUUUGGUCGGAUCUAUACCUGGUACACGCGAAGCAGUGUGUAUCAUGGGAACUAGCAUAGAGGAGGUCAUAAUUCUCUUGAGAUAAGUGAAAGUUAAGUUUACUUUGUAGGUGUGUAGCAAUUUGUUUUGUUCAUCAUUUUUUAUCACUGAAGUUUUAGACUUCACUGACUGAUGAUUCUGGUAGUAUUUCAAGAUUACUACAACAUAUUUUAAUUGUUU